rnacentral:sRNA from 2 species
UCAUAAGAUCUCUAGGGUUCCGACCUGUAACUGAAAUGGGUGGCUGGUCCGAGAGGGGUCGGUUUAUCAGAUUUUCCGGUAUGGAAAAGCUAGAUAGAUUACACGGCGGGAUAAAAGCCCGGGAGAG